rnacentral:rRNA from 1 species
AGAGCGAACGCUGGCGGCAGGCCUAAAACAUGCAAGUCGAACGAACCCUUCGGGGUUAGUGGCGGACGGGUGAGUAACACGUGGGAACGUGCCUUUUGGUUCGGAACAACUCAGGGAAACUUGAGCUAAUACCGAAUGUGCCCUUCGGGGGAAAGAUUUAUCGCCAUUAGAGCGGCCCGCGUCUGAUUAGCUAGUUGGUGAGGUAAAGGCUCACCAAGGCUACGAUCAGUAGCUGGUCUGAGAGGAUGAUCAGCCACACUGGGACUGAGACACGGCCCAGACUCCUACGGGAGGCAGCAGUAGGGAAUCUUGCGCAAUGGGCGAAAGCCUGAUCCAGCCAUGCCGCGUGAGUGAUGAAGGCCUUCGGGUUGUAAAACUCUUUCGACGGGGACGAUAAUGACGGUACCGUAGAAGAAGCUCCGGCUAACUUCGUGCCAGCAGCCGC